rnacentral:rRNA from 1 species
GGAAUUUUGGACAAUGGGGGCAACCCUGAUCCAGCAAUGCCGCGUGAGUGAAGAAGGCCUUCGGGUUGUAAAGCUCUUUUGUCAGGGAAGAAACGGUCCGGGCUAAUACCUUGGGCUAAUGACGGUACCUGAAGAAUAAGCACCGGCUAACUACGUGCCAGCAGCCGCGGUAAUACGUAGGGUGCAAGCGUUAAUCGGAAUUACUGGGCGUAAAGCGUGCGCAGGCGGUUGUGCAAGACAGAUGUGAAAUCCCCGGGCUCAACCUGGGAAUUGCAUUUGUGACUGCACGGCUAGAGUGUGUCAGAGGGGGGUAGAAUUCCACGUGUAGCAGUGAAAUGCGUAGAGAUGUGGAGGAAUACCGAUGGCGAAGGCAGCCCCCUGGGAUAACACUGACGCUCAUGCACGAAAGCGUGGGGAGCAAACAGGAUUAGAUACCCUUG